CUAGUGGGAGAGAAAGAUGUGACCAACUCUGACUGUGAACUGCACACAGAAAUAACACUUCACUUGCAGACCAAGCAUUUAAUUGUUGUUUAAAGACCCUCCAAAAGCUUUCUACUGUGUGUCAUCAGUAGCAGCAUAGGAAGCUACAUUGGAUGUAUUUAAAUGAUUUGAAGACGAGAUACCUUAUGAUCUUAAAAAAUCAAGAAACUGGUUUCAAAUCAUCAUCAUCACUUCCAGCAGUGACAUCAUAGCUAACGUUAUUUUGUGUGUUUACAUAUAUUAUGGUCCAGAAUCCCAGUGAAUGAAGAUGUGAAAAAUGAAUUCUAGAAAGAUGAAACAUGACAAGACUUUAAAAGAAUGUUUUAAGAGACAGAGAAAUUGCUAGCCUAAUUGGUAGGUAACUUGAUAUAAAGUUAACUUCUUCACUUCAGGUCUCAAGAAUGUGCAGCAGAGUGAGUCCCAGAGGUUGCUAUGGCAAUGGAGGUAAACCUGAUUAGGUAGAACGUGCCUGAAGGUCCCUGUAACAGCAGCCACACAAGAGAAAAGCAUGAGCCCAGGCGAACCUGCUGCUUCAACUGCUCCCUCAAUCCCACCCUCUUCAAUUGAGGAGCUGCCCUCCACUAAAGGAAGACAUCAAGUCCUGGAGGCAAGGAAGGCCUGUAUUUAAAGAGGCACUGACUUUAGGCAGCUAUGACUCCUCUAUCCCUUUAUCCUCUAUAACAGAAACAACUCUCAAGAAAUUCUCUGAAAUGAAAAUAACCUCAGCUGAGGAACUUCAGUUUGGAGAGACUGGAUGUGUUCAGUUUAGGACAGAAAAUGUUAUGAGAUACCACAAAUCUAUGAACCCAUAACUGGCUUGCAUGGGAUAAAAAGUAGCACGCUUUAACUUCUAAACAUAUUCUUCAAAUACCAGGCCAAGUUCAAACAGAAACUAACAUGAGAUGGGGAAUUUAAUAUUAUUACCUAAUCCUGGAAAGUAAAAUGAAACAGACAACAAUAUUA
rnacentral:lncRNA from 1 species